AGUGCUUGCACUCUAUGAGAGUGGCGAACGGGUGAGUAACACGUAGGUGAUCUAUCUUUGGGUCUGGGAUAGCCUGUGGAAACACAGAGUAAUACCGGAUACGACCUUUAGAUUUUGGUCUAGAGGGGAAAGUCGCUUAGGCGACGCCUUAAGCUGAGCCUGCGGCUCAUUAGCUAGUUGGUAGGUAACGGCCUACCAAGGCGACGAUGAGUAGCCGGCCUGAGAGGGUGAUCGGCCACACUGGAACUGAGACACGGUCCAGACUCC
rnacentral:rRNA from 1 species